AUCAGUUUCUUGAUUUCACCAUUAUAACUUAUUUCCUUUAUCCUCUAUAACCUUUGUUAUCUUUGUAUUAUACAUGAUAUACAACGUAACAAUAUAAUUACCUAGAAUCAACAACUGUUAUUGCCUUGGAAAUAUGUAAAUCAGCAAUACUGAUCAAGGUCAAAAAAUAAUAUUGAAUCAAUUGAUCUGAAUGGUGGGAUUUUUUUUUUUUAUUACAUGUAUAUUGUAAACUGUUAAAACACAUUUUUUUCAACAUUGACAGAAACAAAAUUUAUAUGCAGUUAUGUUUUGAAAUUAUGAAAUUGUUCAUGUGUUUGUUGAAAUGGAUGUGAAGGGGAAAAAACAAUUUUCUCUUAAAUUUUUGUUUUAUUUUGUUGGUUUACUUUUGUUUCUUGUUUUUAUUUUAACAUCUUUAAAGAUGUGAAUGUGUAUAAUUUUAGUAUAUAUUUGUUAGGCAAUCAUAUAUUUGAAAUUUUUGCGCUUAAUUGCUAAUCAUAUUUUAUGCGAAAUGUAUCUUAUUUUGUUGACGAUUUUUUUUUUCUAAAAUAAAUUAUAACAUUU
rnacentral:misc_RNA from 1 species